AUUGAACGCUGGCGGCAGGCCUAACACAUGCAAGUCGAGCGAGCAGCGGACGGGUGAGUAAUGUAUGGGGACUGCACGAUAGAGGGGGAUAACUACUGGAAACGGUGGCUAAUAGCGCAUACUAACGGAUAACCCAUAUGGGAUUAGCUAGUAGGUGGUGUAAAGGCACAUCUAGGCGAAGCUCUCUAGCUGGUCUGAGAGGUUGAUCAGCCACACUGGGACUGAGACACGGCCCAGACUCCGACGGAGGCAGCAGUGGGGAAUAUUUCACAAGGGGCGCAAGCCUGAUGCAGCCAUGCCGCGUGUAUGAAGAAGGCCUUAUGGUUGUAAAGUACUUUCAGCGGGGAGGCGUUACCCGCAGAAGAAGCACCGGCUAACUCCGUGCCAGCAGCCGCGGUAAUUC
rnacentral:rRNA from 1 species